rnacentral:tRNA from 1 species
CGGGGCGUAGCGCAGCUUGGUAGCGCACCUGCAUGGGGUGCAGGUGGUCGGAGGUUCAAAUCCUCUCGCCCCGCCCA